AUCUAAGUUCUAGGAACCAAGCCAAGCAUUGUAGAAUCAAUCCGUUAUAUGCUCGGUUAUGAUUAAUGCUUAUCUGGUUGUGGUUUCAGGAACUAGGGAUGGUUCUGGUCAAGCCAAGGAGCCGUGAAGGCUCGGUCAGUGAGAGGCUGUGUAACGUGUGGUUAGAUGAUGCUAAGGAUGAACUGGGGAUUGUCUAUGAGACUGUUAAGAAGUUGUGUAUUGAAUCUCAUGUUUCUAAGUAAUACAAAGUUUAUACAUUAUUAUUCCGCUGUGCAAUCUAUCCCUUUGCUUAUGAACCUCAUAUUCGAAUAUGACUUAGUAAAGAAAAGACUUAGAAUUAAUCAGACAAGCAAAGAAAUUAAUAAGUAAGCAUUCGUAUCCAGUUGGGUCGAGAGACCAGGAACGGGUCUUACAAGUUGGUAUCAGAGCAUGCUUGAUUCUAGGAUAGUUGGGUUAUGUAGUCCACACACACACACACGCAGCCAGCUGAUUAUGUCUUACGGUGAGGUUUGAUUUCUUAGUCUAGGGAUUGUUUUGUUCUGUUUAUGGUUAGUAUGUUUUGUACUAACAUUGUCUGAAUCCUUAGGCUGGAAAAAGAAAAUCGGGAAAGUCCCGAAGAAGUAAGAUAAUGGCCGGUCAGUCUAGCCAAGUGGCCAUGGACGGAACUAAUCUGUCCGGUUUGCAAACCGAUCCGGCCGCGGCUAACGCUGAAGAUGUGUUGCCAACUGAUCAGGCUAACCUUACGGGGACGCAACAGGAUGGUCAGGAACAUCAGGAGAGUGAUGAGGAAGUGGAAUCCUCGAACGCUAACCGUGAUGGUGGCCAGCGUGAGAAAGUGGUCAAUGGUACGGCCAAUGUAACCGCAACACUGUCCAAAGAGGACUUGUUAGAGGCCAUGAAGGGAAUGGGGACUCAGGUGGCGGCUAUGGCCCAACUGUUCACGCCAUUAGUGAACUCCUCGGUUGGCCAAGCUAUGCCUGUGGCUACGACCGCCCCCAACACCAAUGGUCCAGUUGUGGAAACAGUCGAGGUGAUCGAGAUUGAUCCACCAGAAAGGACUGGGAAAAAGGUGGACUAUCUGAGUUUGCUUCAGCACAUCUCCCGUCUAGGGACGAAGCAUUUCUCAGGAAGCACCGAUCCUAUUGAGGCAGACGAGUGGAGGAGUAGGCUAGUCCGAAACUUCAGCUCAACUCGUUGUCCCGAGGAUUACAAGAGAGACAUUGCGGUUAACUUCCUGGAAGGGGACGCGCAUAAUUGGUGGCUGGCUGUGAACAAGCGCACCAAUGGAAGUCUCCAGAGUUUUGUGGAUUUUGAAGAUGAAUUCAACCGCAAAUACUUUCCUGCAGAGGCUUGGGACCGUCUGGAACAUAGAUUCCUAGACCUUACCCAAGGCCGCAGGGCCGUACGUGAGUACGAAGAGGAGUUCAACCGGCUCCGACGGUUUGUUGGAAGGGAACUUGAGGACGAGACAGUCCAGGUUCGUCGGUUCAUUCGAGGCUUAAGGCCGGAGCUGAGAACCCACUGUUCGAUCCGCACCUUCAGCACCGCCGGAGAGCUGGUUGAACGUGUAGCUAUUUUAGAGUCUAACUUGGCCGAAGAAGCCAAGCUUAAGACGAAGUCGCAGUCUGUCCCGACGGGUAAGACUAACGACCGAAAGAGGAAGUGGGACCAGGUUGACGGAGGCAAGGCCUCUAGUGGACGACCUGAAUGUCCCAAGUGUGGUAAGAACCAUCCAGCUGAAUGCUGGAAAGCCAUGGGAGCUUGUGUGAGAUGUGGCAGCUUGGAUCAUUCCAUCCGAGAUUGCACUCGACCAAGCCGGACUCAGGGCCAAUCCAGUGGCAGUGGCUCUCGGACUUGUUUCCAUGGCGGCCAAAGCGGACACUUCCAAAGUGAAUGCCCUAAGCGGCAAGGAGGACAAGGGAAGGGUCGUAGAGACACGGGAAACUCGACCCAGAGCAGGCCGACCACAACACCAAGGGUGUAUGAGCUGUCCCGAGACGACGGCGCUUAUGGAUCGUUUGAUUCGAUCUCUGGUAAUUUCUGAAUUGAUCUGUUACAUUCAAUAGAAUGCUUGGUCUGGAACCUAGAGUGGCUAGGGGAUUCUGAUGUGGGUCUCUUAUAGGGACCCUCAUGAUUGGUGGUAUUGAAACCCACGUACUUUUCGACACAGGGGCUACACAUAGUUUUGUGAGCCCGGAACUGGUCGGAAAGGGUCUGUUCUGCCUCUGUUCGGGGGAUAAUUCGAGACUAGUGAGGGCGGCCGGUGGGCAAAUCAUGCACUCACUAGGGCUCAUGACUAAUAUCCCAGUAAUGAUCCAGGAGAAAAAUCUGCCUGUAGAUCUGAUUGUGUUGCGCCUACAGAAUCACGAUGUGAUCCUAGGCAUGGAUUGGUUGGGAAAGUAUCGGGCCACUCUCUACUGCCACAGAGGAUGUGUACGGUUGGAGACUGGACCUCACCCGAUCCAGUACCAAAGUCUGAAUAUGAGUCCGGCUCUGGAUAGAGUAGUGGUGUCAGCAAUCCGAGCAGAACGGAUGCUUAGACAGGGUUGUGAAGCAUAUUUGACCACAAUUACCACUAUGGAGCACGGCAGGUCUGAUGAUCAGAAAGAUCUAUCUGAGGACCCGUUGGUGUCUGAGUUACCACUAUGGAGCACGGCAGGUCUGAUGAUCAGAAAGGGCUUUCCAAAAGGCUUUAGGAACAAGAGUGAACAUGAGUACAACCUAUCACCCACAGACGGAUGGACAGUCUGAACGAACGAUCCAGACAUUGGAAGAUAUGUUGCGAGCAAGUGUUCUAGACUGGGGUGAUUCCUUGGAGAAACAUCUACCUCUGGUAGAAUUUGCUUACAACAAUAGCUUCCAUAGUAGUAUUUGCAUGUCGCCAUACGAAGCUCUGUAUUGGCAUCAAUGCAGGACACCCUUAUGCUGGACCCAAGUUGGGGAACGCAGCAUGAUUGGUCCGGAGAUUGUCGAAGAGACAACCGAGAAGAUCAAGUUCUUGAGGGACAAGAUGAGACAGGCACAAGACCGCCAAAAGAACUAUGCAGAUCUAAGAAGGAAAUAUCUCGAGUUUCAAGUAGGUGACUUGGUGUAUCUAAAAAUGAUUACCUUCAAAGGACGAGUCCGGAUUUCCGGAUUUCAAGGUCAUUGAAAGAGUUGGGAUGGUGGCCUACAAGUUGGACUUGCCGGCCAAGAUGGACGCAUUUCAUAAUGUGUUCCAGGUCUCCCAACUUCGGAAAUGUUUGACGGACCAAGACAUCGCUCUUCCUGCCAUUCCAGACGAUCUUGGUAAGAACCUAACCUUGGAAACGAGGCCAGUUCGAAUCAUAGAUAGGAUGGAAAAAGCAAUAAGGAAGAAGACGGUCCAGAUGGUCAAGGUCGUUUGGGACAGUAAUGGUCAGGAUAUAAUCACUUGGGAAAGCCAAGCUAGAAUGAAAGCAGAGUACCCAGAGUGGUUGGAUCAGUUUGUUUCUGAGGAAGCAUUCGAUUCGGAUUCAAGGACGAAUCCAUCCCAAGGGGGGGAGACUUGUCACGCCGCCAGUCCUGAAUAGGAUUGUUGGGACGGCCAUGGUUCUAGGAAACGGGCAAGCCAGUCUUAGGACAUCAAGGCAAGCAUUCCAUGGUCGAGAAAGAAGGUUAAGGACAUAAGGAAACUUAGACUUAACCUUAUACAAGCUAAGAGACAGCUAGGACGAGUAAGACGGUAACUGGACAAAGUGGACGAGUAGAGAGACAGCUAGGACGAGUAAAAGGAAACUUAGACUUAACCUUAUACAAGCUAAGAGACAGCUAGGAUGAGUAAGACGGUAACUGGACAAAGUGGACGAGUAGCUCGGCCAGCUCAAUGAAGCUAGGUUCAGUUCACUCUAGCUCAGUCCCUACUAAGUCAGCUCCACUAGCUGGACUACUAGCUCAUUCAGCUCAGACAGCUGAGAGUCAGCUCAUCUCAGCUAGACGGACUGUCCGGGCUUUAGGCUGAUGGUCCGGGUCCGGGUCAGUGGCGGGCUGUGAGGUCCGGCCACGAGGCCAUGGGCUGUUGCGUCUUUGGACAAGGCCGUGGGCUAAGUCCAGGAGGCCUGGGGCGUGGGUUGGGCUUGUGACCGACCCCGAACCCAAUCAGAAAGGGCGAAGGGAUGCAAGUGGCCAAAAGGGGACAACCCUUGGCCGAUGGUGCCCAUUCGCUAGCAAGUCGUGCCUGUUCGUGGGGCAAGACUUACCCCCUCGUUUCCUAUAAAUAUGGGGGCUCUCUGGUCGAUUUCAAUAUCCAAUUCCAGAGUAAAAUACUCAGAGAAAAACGUAGAUAGAAAGAAAGAGAGAAAGAGAGAGUUCCAGCCAAGAGAAAGGCCGUGGACUGUUUGGGUGAUUUUAUCCCACGUGGGCUGUCUGUUCAGUACACACAGGACGUGUGACGCCCCCAAUCCUGAAUAGGAUUGUUGGGACGGCCAUGGUUCGAGGAAACGUGCAAGCCAAUCUUAGGACAUCAAGGCAAGCGUUGCAUGGUCGAGAAAGAAGGUUAAGGACAUAAGGAAACUUAGACUUAACCUUAUACAAGCUAAGAGACAGCUAGGAUGAGUAAGACGGUAACUGGACAAAGUGGACGAGUAGCUCGGCCAGCUCAAUGAAGCUAGGUUCAGUUCACUCCAGCUCAGUCCCUACUAAGUCAGCUCCACUAGCUGUACUACUAGCUCACUCAGCUGAGACAGCUGAGUGUCAGCUCAUCUCAGCUAGACGGACUGUCCGGGCUUUAGGCCGAUGGUCCGGGUCCGGGUCAGUGGCGGGCUGUGAGGUCCGGCCAUGAGGCCAUGGGCUGUUGGGUCUUUGGACAAGGCCGUGUGCUAAGUCCAGGAGGCCUGGGGCGUGGGUUGGGCUUGUGACCGACCCCAAACCCGAUCAGAAAGGGCGAAGGGAUGCAAGUGGCCGAAAGGGGACAAACCUUGGAUGAUGGUGCCCACUCGCUAGCAAGUCGUGCCUGUUCGUGGGGCAAGACUUACCCCCUCGUUUUCUAUAAAUAUGGGGGCUCUCUGGUCGAUUUCAUUAUCCAAUUCCAGAGUAAAAUACUCAGAGAAAACGUAGAGAGAAAGAAAGAGAGAAAGAGAGAGUUUCGGCCAAGAGAAAGGCCGAUUGUGGUGGUGAUGUGUUCCGGCGACUCUGAUCGUUUGAGAAGUAACUCCGGUCAAGAAUGGGAGAUCAAGACAAGGAGAAGAGCAUGGAGAACCCAGACGUGGUUCACAAGGUAUGUGAUGGGCCGUGGCUCUAUCAGACCGAACGGACAGUCCAUGCGACCGCACCGCGGCUAUGCUCGGUUCCUAAGUCCCAUCCGGCUCUCCUUAUCUGUUUCAAUUCGUUUCUCUUCUCUUCUCUCUGGUUAAACACAAAAGGUUGUGUUGGUUGAGUCCAAGGGACACAUCCCUAGACUUUGGCCGGACAUAAUCAAACUGCUAGCCUAGACACGGGUCGGUUAGUGGGAUGAUCCGUUCGCACCAAGACUGGGCAGUUAGGACGAACGGUUGGGAAUGACCCAAAGGGCACGAGUUGUCAAGAGUCAUGAAUGUCCAAGAGGAACAAAUGGCCAAAGGGUACAUGUUCCAAACGGUGUCUUUCGGGACAGGUUAGGACCGAUCCUUAUGGAUCAGCCUAUGGAUUGUCUAGUUAAGACAAGGUCACGGUUUGUCUAAGCCAAGGUAGAGUCGCAAGGUCUGACCAGUUGCUAAGCCUUCCGGAUUAGGGUUGAGGCUUACUAGGCCGAUUGGAUCCAGGCCUAAGGCCGGAUCAGGGAAGGGAGUCCGUUGGGCCAUUGAGCCGAACUCCAUUGGCUGGUUGCACCUAGAUUCUAUCUGGUUCGACGGAUUUGUCUUUGGGGACGAUCCAGAUCUCUUCGUGUGUUCUGUUUACCGAUUCUGGACGAUCUAUCUGAUUCUAAGUCAAGGGGUGGUUGGUUGAAUGACUUAGGAUAAGGUAGGUAGGUUAAUACGUUUUAUGAUUAUGUUGACUGAGCUUUAUCUAAGUUCUAGGAACCAAGCCAAGCAUUGUAGAAUCAAUCCGUUCUAUUCUCGGUUAUGAUUAAUGCUUAUCUGGUUGUGGUUUAAGGAACUAAGGAUGGGAUUUGGUAGAGCCAAGGAGCCGUGAAGGCUCGGUCAGUGAGAGGCUCUGUAACGUGUGGUUAGAUGAUGCUAGGGAUGAACUAGUGAUUGUCUAUGAGACUGUUAAGAAGUUGUGUAUUGAAUCUCAUGUUUCUAAGUAAUACAAAGUGUAUACAUUAUUAUUCCGCUGUGCAAUCUAUCCCUUUGUUUAUGAACCUCAUAUUCGAAUAUGACUUAGUAAAGAAAAGACUUAGAAUGAAUCAGACAAGCAAAGAAAUUAAUAAGUAAGCAUUCGUAUCCAGUUAGGUUGAGAGACCAGGAACGGGUCUUAC
rnacentral:lncRNA from 1 species